GGCUCGUUGGGAGUUUUCCUGGCAUCAUAUUGAUGUAUAAAGGAGAUGUAUUCUACAAAAUUGUCUUCAUGUUCUCCUGAUGAGCUCAGACAGGUACACAUGGAGAAGGCAUGUGACGUUCUCGGGGAGGUGACUGGUUCUUCCCAAAUACACAAACAGAGCUUAGAUGCCCAGUUCUCCACCAGAAAAGCUCCAGGUUACUGCUCUAACCAAGCAGUAACCACUGGUUACAACGGCACCACUUUGAGAUGCAUCAUGUCCUUUAAAUAGACUGUGACCAAACUGUCCUGCAAAACAGCUUCUGAGUCUAACUGUAUUUGUACAUAGCAAACAUCUGUCCAACCUGCUUUGCUGGUCCUUUAUGAUCAAUGUAGGGAACUGGCUCAUUGUAUGUUCUUGCAUUUGUGUUAAUGAAUUUAGCAUAAUCUACACGUCUUCUGUCCACACUGGGUUUUGAGUGUUGUGUGCUUUUUCCAAGACUUUUUUCAUGUUUGAUUUCUUCUUUGUUUUCAGUUAUGCAUGCUAUACCAGCAUCUUCUACUUUAUAGUGUCUGAAAAACAUAAUUAAGUAGUAAAUUAUUUAUCACAA